UUGCUGUGAUGAUAUCUGCGCUAGUUAUGAUGAUGGGGUUUAUCACGUUCUUUCGAAUUAUUCGAAAAAAUGGCGUUUCUGAGCAA